rnacentral:lncRNA from 1 species
GUGAUUUUAGUCAAAGAUUCAAUAAUCUGUAUGAAAUCAUUGACAAUCUGAAGGCAGAACUGUCCGAAUCAAAUAAAGGAAAUCUUGAACUACAAAAACAAAUUAAUGAGUUCAGACACGAGAACAGACCAGGAAACACCAAUAAGCAACAAAAACAAAGGGGUAUCAUCUCAGACCGCCCACCACGUGGAUUUUACGCUAGAAGAGGAAGACGUUAAACGUGUAAAAUAAAACAAAACACAUAGCAUUUCAUUAAUUUUAAUUUAAUGUAGACAUGUACUCUAAUAUUUUUAGCAUACAUCAGAUAAAACUGCAUUUUCACGGAGUGAAAAUAAAUAUCGGAGGGGCAAGUGUCCUGCUGUAAACUUUUAAGUUGCUAGGUUCUGUAAUAUUUGUAGAUAAUUAAGCUGAUUAUUUGUUAUGCAAUGCAAGAGUGCGAAGUGUAGAUAAUUUCUAACAAGGUCUUUGUUCCAUUGUUUGCCACUUCCUUCGAUCACUAUCAUAAAUGUGAUAAGAUCUAAAGAAGACUGUAUAAGAAUAAUUUGCAUAAUUCGAAUAUACUGAUUGUCAAGAUAUUAAUCUGUGAUUUCAUUGGUUGAAGAUCUUAAAUUGAAAAGAUAAGAAAUAAUGCAGCAUCCAGGAGAAAAGACAGUUAGUUAGUGGACAUCCACAGAACAAGCGUGUUAUACUUUAA